rnacentral:lncRNA from 1 species
UACAAGUUACAUCAUAAUUUAUGCAUUAUUUCUAACAAAUCUCAUAAAACCUUCAAGGUUGGGAGGUGGUUGUGUUGGCGGUGGUGGAAAUGAAGCGUGUUCAUCGCCACUUCCAGGUGAAGUUGCUUCCUGAGCAAGUUCUGCUAUCAUUUCUUCAUACGCCUCAACUAUUUCUGGUUGUGAUUCUGCUAGGCCAAAGUUCCUUCUUUCUGCG